rnacentral:rRNA from 1 species
CCUACGGGAGGCAGCAGUGAGGAAUAUUGGUCAAUGGGCGAGAGCCUGAACCAGCCAAGUCGCGUGAAGGAUGAAGGAUCUAUGGUUUGUAAACUUCUUUUAUAUGGGAAUAAAGUGAGGAACGUGUUCCGUUUUGUAUGUACCAUAUGAAUAAGCAUCGGCUAACUCCGUGCCAGCAGCCGCGGUAAUACGGAGGAUGCGAGCGUUAUCCGGAGUUAUUGGGUUUAAAGGGUGCGUAGGUGGGUAAGUAAGUCAGCGGUGCAAGUUUGUGGCUCAACCAUAAAAUUGCCGUUGAAACUGGUUGCCUUGAUUAUAUUUGAGGUCGGCGGAAUGCGUGGUGUAGCGG